rnacentral:rRNA from 1 species
UUUGAUUCUUAUAGGUUAAUAGGAACCACCCGAACCCAUACCGAACUCGACUAGUGAAACUUUUAGCCGCCGCAUGUACUGUUCCUCACGGGAGACGCGGUUAGGAUCAAAU